GCUAGGAUGUCUCAUUCAGCGCUCUUCAUGUCCAGGACUGACCUGUGCUGUCCCAGAAGGUGGGAACUGUCACAGAACAGAGACUGCUUGGCCCAUACUCCUCCAGGGACCAAAGCAGCAGCUCUUCAGGGAAGGUACCACAGUCUUCAGACUUGGAUUGUCACCUGAGGGUGUUUGGGAGGCCCUGGAUUGGAUACUGGGGAUAUGUUUUUUAUUUCAUCAACAUUGAGUCUUUUCAGUGAGUGACUUGGCCCUACAGUAGCUGCAGUUUCCACUGGCUAUCAUGUCCAUUGAACAAGAAGCAACAAAGCCUCUGUUGACUUUUUUCUUGGCCAUAAAAUGGCACCAUGAGAGACAACUCCUUGAACUUCACUGGUCGAGUUCCUAUAAGGAUGUUGUCGAGAACUUUGUGUGUUAUCCAGCAUACAGUUAAUCCUUUUGGAGAGGACCUGAAAAGGACUACGGAAAUGCUUAACUCAUGUCCCUUUGCGUCCUGUCUGGAUUUCCUCGUCUCACCUGUAGGUGUCCUACCACCGUCACUCUGUACAUUUCCAACUACAGAUUGUUCAACCUCUCCAUGCGUCGGGUCUGGCAUCAAUGUUAUUUGAAGAAAAGUAAAGAGGGAAGCUGCUGGUUGCCUGCCGGUAUCCAAAACCUCCCUUCCACACCUGUGGAGACUUAAACUCCACAAAUGGAAGAUGUCAGCAUUCUUCGUACCAGAGAAGCUUAUCAAGAAGAUUACCUGAGAUCAGAUUAGAGGAGUGCAGGCCCUGCACACACCUUAAUCUUAUCAGCAGCCCCACCCUUGAACCAUUGCUAUAAAACUUCUCAUCAAAUCCUCCUGGGUUG